CAAUUCUGGGGUCAGAAGCCAUGGAGUCAGCAUUAUCACCAAGGAUAUUAUUGAAUACCCAAAUAAAACGAACUGAUACAUAUUUCUCCAAAACCUUCACAAGAAGUCGACUGUUUUCUUUAGUAGGCUAACUUUUUAAACAUUCCACAAGAGGAAGUGCCUGCGGGUUCCUUUUUUAGAAGCUUUGUGGGUUGAUUUUUUUUCUUUUCUUUUUUGUACAUUUUUAAUUGCAGUUUUAAAGUGAAUCGUAAGAGAACCUCAGCAUUGUGCACGAUAAGAGAAUGUGUCAGUAUUUCAGGGUUCUACAUUUUAUCUGUAAAAUGUGACUUUUUUUUUUUUAUCACAACAAAAGUAAAAUGUUGCUUUGUACCUGGUGUCUUUUAUUAAGAAUUUACUCCCCCCAUUUCUCACAGAGAUAACAGUCGGGAGUCAUUGUCACAAUAUAAUAGAAAUGUUAGCAACCAGAUUCAUGGGAGGACCGCGCAGUCCUCAUGAAUCACCUGAGACUCUGUACUGCUCCUAGAACACUCCAUCCUCUCUGUAGUUUGCCGAGCGGCGGAGGGGGAAGCUUCCAUCGUAGUUCCUGACCAUAACUGGGAAGUCUUUUUCUUUUUUUUUUUUUUUUUAAAUAACAACGGAAUUGGCCUAAUGGGGAACGAAGAGAAAACUUGGAACCAAGAGAGAGAAGAUGGAGUGUACGUAGAAGGGCUGUUCAAAAUGUAAAACUUUGGUUGCAUUAUUUGUGGAGGCUCAAACUUGUGAAGGUUCAAUACCAUAAUUUUUCCAUUUGUUCUGCAUUUUGAUUCUGAAAAGAAAGCUGGCUUUGCCCAUUUCUUAUUAAAAAAACUUGUUGUAAAUCCAGUUGUCUAAUGGGAUCUAUAUGAAGUUAGCUAUGUCUGUAUGCCCUUCUCCCACAAAAUACUGUAUCACUAGUGUGCUUGUAGUACUUUACUCCACCAUCUUUGUAAGCUAAUGAAAUUGUGAGUCACCCAUUUAUAUCUUAAUUUUUAAUCAUGUCAGUUCUUGAAUGGGUAUCUCCUUAGCCUGCUGAUUUCUUUUUCUUUCUAAAGAAAGUGGGUGGAGAAAUUAAUUUAGACGUUUGUUUGCAAUAAAAAGAAUUCAUUUUACUCUCGUUUUGGGAUUCUCGCCAUCAAGGUUCAAAAUCCCUUUAUAAAACUCCCAAGAGGAGGAAAUUUAAGUGUGUGCUUUCUGGACAGCUUAUUCUGUACUCCGUACUUCGAACAUUUAGGUUUUAAAAACUUAAAUGUAUACUGACAAUUGAGUUUUAAUUACGAAGUAAAGUCGAAUCCUUCCUUCCCCUCCCCCCCCAGACGACUUAACAUUUAACGAGGGGAAAAGGUGUACUGGCUGGGAGAAGUUAACACUCAGUUUACCAUCUUUACGAAAUGCUAACGGCUGUCCUCAAGAGAAUAUCUUAAUACGCAUAUAUCUGAUACGUGAGACUCUGGGAACAGAUGCUUUUAGAAGCCAUCGUACAAGCCAGUCCUUGAUUUCACGACUACACAACACUGCUAACUUAACUGUAGCUAUGUGACCGCAUUAGAUCCCCUAAUUGUAAUUCUAUUGGGUUUGCACAGAACACUUAAUCUUCUAAAGGACCCUCACUGAUGUGAAGUGAGGAAUCAGGAGUCAAACUGUAGAACUAAAACUUGACUUCAGUCUAGCGUUUUGUUGGUGUUUUAGGUUGCUUCUGGUAAGUUGAGGUUUGUCUGUAUUUUCUUCUGUUUGCUUAGAUUUUUGUUUUAGCCACCUUCAAUCAGAUUUUUCACUUCUUCAUACUCCUAGGAAUUCUGCCACGAGCGGAGCGGGAGUGGAGUUUUAGCUGGUGGUGUAGGUUUAAGUUGAUACAUUUUGGGAGCGGAGGCUAAUCCUGGAAUUCCGGUGAGAAUACUUAAUGGGACAAGGUAGCGUCUCAAGGGUUUUUGUUUUUUUAGCGGUUAGCUUUAGUGCUGGCAACCACUGGCAUUAACUAUUAUAUCAGUACACAUUGUAAUUACGAGGAUUGCAUAGUAGACCUACCCAGGGGAAAAAUUUGUUUUCAGCUUUGUUGCUAAUCAGUGUUCUGGGUACGUUUGAAACAUCUUGGAUCUACCUUCUAGUUGAAAACUGCUUCCCGAGGAGUUCAUACUCUAACGUGAAUCGUGGUGGGGGAGUAAUGGCCAAAUAAUACUGUUGGGUAGACUGUUCUCCCUUGGGUAGUCCAGAGAAGUUUGGGAAGACCAGUGGACUAGAUAAAAACACUGUCCAGGAAUGUGUUAAAAUUUCCAGCAGCGGUCUCCUCAAGAUUAGAACUAAAUAUGCCUGGAAAGGAAUAAUCUUCGUGUUUAAGGAACUGGGAAGGGGGAGCGUAUCAGAUAGCAAGCAAAAGGGCGAAAAAGAAGAAACGCCAUUUGGCAGAGUAGGGUCUGUAAACGAGAAACUUGGCCUCCUGCUUGCCCCUCCUCUAGCCUGUCCCUCUGUGGCGAGCAAAACCGAAGAAACACAAGACCUAGUUGGGAACAAAUGUCUCCGCUCCACCGGUGAGAUUGCUGUUGGUUCAGUGGUACUUCCCCUAGAAAGUUUGGCAGGUGGUCCUGUCCUCCUGAGUGAGGUGUUGGAUCAGAUUGGUGAGCUCCAGUGGUGUGAGGAGUGCAGGAACAGGUUAAUCAGGAAAGACGGCGGAUCACUGUAAGAAAUGAAGUAACAGCUCCUGUCCUGUAGAGCAUUUGCUUUGCUGCUGGUAGGUUCUGUCUUGUGGCUCCUGUUUGGCCUUUGACGUGGAGGUCUCUGGCUCAGACCUAGGAGGUCAGGACUAACUUGUGGCCCCUUCCUGGCCAGACAGUAAGAUGAAGUCUUAGAAUGCAGCACGAGUGAAGUCAGUCUGACCAAAGGAAGCCUCAUUAAAUCCACAAAACCCGAAGCUCACACUUGCCCAGGGUAGAUUCUGUCUGAAAAUGAGGACCAUGUCCUGAGCACUGACAAGGUAUUAAAGCUUCCUAAAGACUACUUGCCUUGACAAAGUCCUUAAAAUUUUUCCGGGAGAAGUAAUACUUAAGUAUGUUUCCCACCUUCGGGAGAACUUACAUUCAUGGAGAUAAUGUGUUCUGUAUCCAAUGCUUGCAUCAGUUGUGGGAAUGAAUGUGUUUUUCUGUGCGCUUAAUAUAAAUUGGCUGUUUGUCCUUAGGACCGUUUUCAUAAUAGGUCCCAUCGCACAAAUAAAAAUCAAGUAUUCCCAUACCUUUUUAAGCUUGGGGUAGACUUCGGUCACCUACAAAAAACUGAUUAUAGGUCUGUGGGAAUAUAUCUGGUACUUAAAAAGCCAAAACCAGAAUAAGCUACUAAGGAAGGCAUAAACCUGUCUUUCAUAGCCCAAGUCUUAGUGUCUGGUAAUGUAACCUUAAAAACCGUUUCCACGGCUCCCUUUGUACGCGUAAGUAUAAAAUGUCUUUUUUAAAAGUGGGUGGAUGUAGCAGAGAAUAAUUGGCCACUCCCACCCCCCAGAAUAUUUCUUGAACUACUCCGGAAAGAGGAGUGCAGCAUUCUUUUCUAAAGCCGUGCGUACCUAAGUAUUUAAAAUGGUUUGAGUCUAAACUUUGUCAUCGGUGUUUCUGGGGCUAUGAGAAAUGGUGUAACGUUUCAGGAAUGGUAAAGAGCAAAGAUACGUAGCAUUAAGGGCCUUGGCAACAGGUCACGGUGGUUACGCCCGGGGCGGUAAAGGGGACGGUAAAUUGGUAUUUAGACUAACUGCGUUAGCUGUCUAAAUAGUUUUAGUCCCGUUCAACCGACCUCUUUGAACUCGAAUGGUUAAUUUCAUAAACUUACCUAAAACUAUAAUGCCCUUCUGCUACGCGGAGCCUUCUGUUUGGAUUUAGGUUUGAAUUUUCGGCCCUUUUCUUCAAGUCUGCAGUAAAACACUCGGGGGUAGUAUGUGUAGCCGGGUUAGUGGUUGAGUUUUUCUUGAGGUUCCUCUGAGGCCCAGUGUAUUUUAUACCCUGGUGCCAGCACUGCAGGUACAUGAUAGACAAAUACUAAAAAUACUUUAUGGUGGCUAGAUCGUGUUGAAGCGAGUGACCUUAGCCUUCCUCCUCUUUUUUACUCACCUUGCUAUCUAAGGUAAACCCUUCAGAAUUGUGAUGGAAGUGAUCUAAAGGCGUGCUGAUUGACACAGUGUAUAUCUCUUGAGUGCGUUGGGGUAGACAAAAAGAAAAACCAGGAUCCCCAAGUCCCUUAAUACCCCGAAGUUUAAAUCCUGUAUAUGUGACAUUGAAUAGUUGAAAUCACCUACUUAAUAGCCAAUUGUUUUUGCUAAAAACGUAUGCUACUUUAUUUGGUGGUUAUACUUCGUCGAUUUCAACACGCAUACGGCUGGAGACCCCAUACGAGCACUUAAGAUCCGUAGGAGAAGGCCAACAGCAUGCGCGUACAUUAAGUGACAGACGUCACAUCCUAACCAGUUGACUAAAAUUACAGGCGAUUGAGUACGUCUGAUGAGUUGGUCCAAGGAACUUAAUUUAGUCUGUAAGGCUCAGUAGAUUGUAAAUACUAUAGUUCUAAUGUUAACCGGAGUUAUUUUAAAAAUGUUAACACCUGUGUAUUUUGUGAAGUUAGGUUGUGCCGUCCACAUGGAAACCGGAAUAACUACAAUUUCUUGGCAUUGUGUAGCUCCUGGGGCAUUCAGUUGUGAUUGUAGAGCAGUUACUUGUAGGGGAACAGAUCAUUGAUAGGCGCUACUUGGUUAGGGAGGUUAUUGGGACGAGGACUUUAACUGUGUGUUUCAGUUUGUACUUAACUUUAAUUAUUGCCUAGGAAUAUUACAAUUUUUUCUCCCUUUUCGUGCCAGGAUUCAACGUAUACUUGCAUCUUGACAAGGAACGGAGGGGGGGGGGUUUGGUUUUAAAGCUGGAAGGGUGGGUAUGAGAAACUACAUUCUAUAGUUGAAAGCGAGGCGGUAACGACAGUCUAGGUAAAUAGAGAAAGUGUCUUUGGGGAAGAUUCGCUUCGUUUUGGCUGCACCGCCAGUGGCGUUGCCGUCCCGGUGGCGGAGCACGUUCUCUGGAGCAUGCGCAGCUCCGACUGCAUAGGCCAGAGAGCCAACCUGUCUAAAUAAACACUGAACUGUUGUUUAUGGCAUGCUCUUCCCUGCCAGUCCUGUAACAGUCCAGGCGCUCACCGGAAGUAAAAUCCACUUGGUGCAGGGAAAUUUUCUGCACUUGCCAAGCACCUGAGAAGCAUACUCAACGCGUUAGGGUCAACGAAAAAAAAAUUAAAAGGCCAAGAACAGCGAGAUGGCCAGUAUGGUCGGCCAACCUGUGACGGAAACGUUUUGAAGUGUUAAGGCUUACAGACAGGUGAGGGAAAAUCGGUACUUCAGAAGAAGGAGCGGGGCUUUUACUAGAAUGGCAACUAGCAAUUGUUUUAGGUAGCUAGUAAUAGAAGGUGUCCUUACAUUUCAGUGGUCUAGUCGAAGGGAGUGGGAGCGUCAUGGUCAAGUACAACGAGAGGUUCCAGCUUUAUCUAUCUUUUUUUUUAAGUAAUAAAGCAAAAAAAAAAAAUAUAUGCUGAUUGAAAUUUCAUCUCCUUUUCCUUAGUCUGUCCAUGUGAAUGUCCUGUGUGGAAGAGUAAAGGGCCCAACUAAAUGUGUUCCAGUGAUUCCAAUAGGUAUUCCAAAUUCAUUGCUGCUUGUACAUUUCAUACUUGUUCUUUGGGCUUCCAGGAUUACCUUAAUUAGAACUCUCUUAUUUAAAAGUAGGGGAUUGGGAGACAUUGGUAACCCUGAUUGGCUAGAUUCUAUAAACUGGAAAACCAGGUUUUCUCCUCUGUCCUUCGCAUCCCCAAGUAUGAAGUAUUGGUGUGCCCGCAAGUGGUGGUCCUUGCAUGGGAUUAAGACUGCGUAUGCAAAUAGAGCCGAGCCCUUAAAAGGUUAGAUCCUUAGUCUAAUGGUUCAAAUUCUUUCUGUUGUAACUUUUUGGAAGACACUCUUUUUAAUUCUCCUCACUUGUAGAGAUUACGGAAAAUGCUUUAAUGCAGAAAACUGUCCAGGAUACCUGUGUCCAUGUUUUCCCCAGAUCUUUCUGCAUCUGUGCUAAAUGCGUACAUGCUUACUCUUUAUUUAUAAACAUUUGGAAAAUAGAUUGAGAUCCUUUUGGAUAAUGAGAUGGGACUCCAUAUCAAAAUGGAAAAAUCAACUAGGAAGUAAAUUUAAAUUGUGAAGACAGAAGGAAUAAAAAGGCUCAGUGUGAGCUCUGCUUGUGCCAGUCCAGAGCAUGUAAUUUCUCACCGCCCUGAAGUCCUUUAAAGGCUUAAUAAGAAGCUUAGAGGGAAAUGUAUUGGGUAAUACAGUAUAGCGUUGAGACGUAGCUAUCAGGAUUUGCUCAAUGAACUAGAGCUCUACGGUGUCACCUAAAAUCUGAUGGCUUCUGAAAGAGCAGACUGCUUGCUCGGUUUCAGACUAAAGAGUAAAAAUCCGAUUUUGUUCACUUGAGGAAGAAAACCAUUACAAGAAAAAGGUUUGUUUCAGAAAUAAGCUUUGAAUUCAGAUAGCAGAGCAUAGCUUUCAUUUCAUAGGACUUGUCCUCACAGUCCAAAGGGAAGAAACAUUUCCGUGGAAACUGCUCCAUUAAGAAACCCCGUGUAUACAGGUUGUCGACUUUGGUUUCCUAAGGGGAGGUCCUACCAUAAGUUUAUGGCAUAUGGAACUUAACGGAUGUUAUUCCUAGGAAAGUGGAACAGAUACCAUUUGUUCACAAAAAUGAACAACCGAAGGCUUUUUACAUUAGUGCCUGCUCGUGUUAAUGUAGUCACUGCUGGUUUUGUCAAGAUAGAAAUACUUGGGAAAAAACCUUUAUUCUAGAAAAUGAAGAGUAAGGCAAGCAUAGCUGUUGAAGACUCCUACUUGAAGUAGGAGUUACAAGCUUCAACGUUACAAGCUUCAACAUGUAAUACCUUGAGGAAGACCUUUGUAAUAAGCUUUGUCCCUAAAGCUUCGUAUUUUAAGAGAAAAAAGGUGGAGCUUCCUGCAUAAAAUCGGCCGCGUGAGACGCCAGCAUUGGGGUAUUGGUAUAUUCUGUUGUCCUCAUUGGAUGACCACCGGGCCAUAUUUUAAGAUGCUUCCAAAAACUAUUAUUAUAGAGGACCAUUAAAAAUCAGAAGUUUAGCACUCGCUUUAUUUUUUUCUACUCAUUAAGACUUUCUGUUUACCCAAACUGUAGUACGUAUAUUAACAUGACUUUCAAAGGGGUGCCUUGACCCCCAUCCGCUACAGAUUUUUAUCUAGGAAUAGAAGGAUUCCAACCCCAUUUGAUCCCUAGCUCUUUGCUGAAAAGUGCAUAAACAGGAGUCCUGAAUUUAUUAUAUAGACCUCCUCGCAUUAUAUAAUCGAAGCAAAGGGAAACCAGCGAUGGAGUAGAGGUACGUAGACUAAAAAGAUGCUUGCAAAUCAAAUAAUGGUACUAGGAAUAGUUAAAAUUUUUUGUUGCCAAACUUGGUCAUUAUAAAUCACAAGUCCAAAGAAAAGCUUCUAGUUAAUGUUAAAUUCCCUGAGGUCCUUUUACUGUGAUGGAAAAGCCAAGUAGUCGAGGGAGGGGUGAGGGAAGGGGGAAAUGCAUAGAGCACCAGACAGAUUUAACGAAGCAUUAUAGAUAAGCCACAAAGCGUUUUUAAAACUACUAAUGGCCGCAAUUCUAUUUUAAUCAGCUAUUUAGCUGGUAUCUACUGCUAGAUCACCUAGUGUGAAGUUUUGGAAUUAAUGGAACAGUGAAAGCCGCGAUUCACCUGGAGGUUCCCGAGGUCACGGAAGGU
rnacentral:lncRNA from 1 species